rnacentral:sRNA from 1 species
CCUCCUCUCCCCUUUCCUACCCAGGGCCUUCCUCCGGAUGCUCUUCCCCGAGAAGCUGGAUGGAGACAAGAAGGGGCGCCCCAGCACCGCCGGCUCCAAGAUCAAGAAACAAGCCAACGACCUGGUGGCCACACUGAUGAGGUGCACACCCCACUACAUCCGCUGCAUCAAACCCAACGAGACCAAGAGGCCCCGAGACUGGGAGGAGAACAGAGUCAAGCACCAGGUGGAAUACCUGGGCCUGAAGGAGAACAUCAGGGUGCGCAGAGCCGGCUUCGCCUACCGCCGCCAGUUCGCCAAGUUCCUGCAGAGGUAUGCCAUUCUGACCCCCGAGACGUGGCCGCGGUGGCGUGGGGACGAACGCCAGGGCGUCCAGCACCUGCUUCGGGCGGUUAACAUGGAGCCCGACCAGUACCAGAUGGGGAGCACCAAGGUCUUUGUCAAGAACCCAGAGUCGCUUUUCCUCCUGGAGGAGGUGCGAGAGCGAAAGUUCGAUGGCUUUGCCCGAACCAUCCAGAAGGCCUGGCGGCGCCACGUGGCUGUCCGGAAGUACGAGGAGAUGCGGGAGGAAGCUUCCAACAUCCUGCUGAACAAGAAGGAGCGGAGGCGCAACAGCAUCAAUCGGAACUUCGUCGGGGACUACCUGGGGCUGGAGGAGCGGCCCGAGCUGCGUCAGUUCCUGGGCAAGAGGGAGCGGGUGGACUUCGCCGAUUCGGUCACCAAGUACGACCGCCGCUUC